rnacentral:snRNA from 1 species
CCUAUUAACUCUCUUUGUUUUU